AAUCCCUUAGUCCUCAACUCUAUAUAAAGGGGAUGUCCCAAGUGCAAAAAACUCACCAACACUCAAGAUUUUCUAUACAAUAUUUUGCUACACAAGUUCAUAAAUAAACGGUAGAAGAAGAAAAAUAUGAAGAACUCUUCAGCAACCACCAAGAUUGUUUUCUCACUUCUUCUCCUAUCCAUGGUUUCCUGUGAGUAUUUUCUUAUAAUCGGCGUAUUUUUGAUCAGGUUCGAAUCCAGUUAUGAUUAUUUCGAAAAAAAUACUUACAUUAUCCCUGUUGGUAUGUGUGUAGGUAUGGUGAUGAGAGUCGCGGAAGCGAGGGGACCGAUUGUUAGUUUUUACUGCGUUACGGUCUUCGAUUGCCAAGAUAAGGGGUGGUGUAAAGGCUGCAGCGUUUGUCAAUGUUCAUCCCACUUAUGCACUUGCAUUAAUCAGGCAUCGGAUGUCGCUAAUGCUCUGAUAAACCCACCGGCAACUUCCAACAACAAUGCUUAGGUGUUCCAUGAACUUCAUUGAUGAUGCUAAGAGUUGUUUUUUAUCAACUGAAAUAAUGAAAUAUGAGUAAGAGCACUUGGGUCGGUCCAAAUUAAAAUUCGGUGUGUUUUUUAAUAUGAGAUUGUGUAGUACUAAAACAUCGAACCUCAACCGAAGAGAACCAAAGCAAAAAACAAGAGCACCAAGCUAAGUUGUCGGACCAGCGGGUCCGGGGCAUACUGCUUAGAAACGUUGCUUGGAGUUGAUUCACUACCAGAAAAAUGAUCAAUAGAUACGUGCAAAGGAUUUAUAGUCACAGGAAUGCCUUUAGUCACUCUACAUUUAGUCACUAGAAAUUUUGAAAUAGUGCGUGAAUUGAACUUUAAGGACGGAAAAUUCUGUGACUAAUUAUUUCAAUUUUUCGUAACUAAUCUGUCUUAGUUCAUACGCUUACCGAUACUACCCGAUACUUCUCUGUUGCUCUCAAACUCUCUUUCGUACGUUUUAACUCUUCUUACACAACUACCCACUAACCCUCACAUACGUCUUACGAGAAAGCACCUUAGAGGGCUUAGAAACGCGUUGUAUGGAGAGCUCAACAACCAAUCCGACUCUCCAAAUCAAAUCACUCAUUGGAGCACCCGUAACAUCAAUAAACACUUGGCUUUUCAGUCAAACGUAUUGGAUUUACUCACCUAUUUCCAAAUCCAAUAAUUAUUUAUUUCCAAAUCUUUUACCAUAUAGAGUCACAAGUGAUCAUUAGCUCACACAAGUUUACAAAUAAACUCUAGAAAAAAUAUAUGAAGAACUCUUCAUCCAUCACCAAGAUUGUUUUAUCACUUCUCCUAUCCAUAGCUUCUUGUUAGUACAUUUUCCGCCCAUCCCUUUCGUAUAAUUCGGUGUAAUUUUCACAUUCUGCCUAAUAAUAUUUUGAAAAAAAUAAUACUUACAUCCUGUAUCCGCCCCUGUCUGUGUUCGUAGGUAUGGUGAUGACGAGAGUUGAGGAAGCGAGGGGACGGAUUGUUACUUUGCACUGCGAAACGGUUUUCGAUUGUGCAGGGCCUAAUGGUUGGUGUCAGUUCUGAGAUGUUUGUCAAUGUGUAAACUACAUAUGUAAAUGCAUUGCGAAAUAGGAUGUCGCUGAUACACCCACUGGCAACUUCGAACAAUAAUGCUUAGAUGUUCCAUGAGCUUCGUUGAUGCUAAGAGUUUUUUUUAUAAUAAUAAUUGGUUGUUUUUCAUCAACUAAAAUAAUGAAAUAUG
rnacentral:lncRNA from 1 species